rnacentral:rRNA from 1 species
GAUGAACGCUGGCGGCGUGCCUAAUACAUGCAAGUCGAGCGAACGGACGAGAAGCUUGCUUCUCUGAUGUUAGCGGCGGACGGGUGAGUAACACGUGGAUAACCUACCUAUAAGACUGGGAUAACUUCGGGAAACCGGAGCUAAUACCGGAUAAUAUUUUGAACCGCAUGGUUCAAAAGUGAAAGACGGUCUUGCUGUCACUUAUAGAUGGAUCCGCGCUGCAUUAGCUAGUUGGUAAGGUAACGGCUUACCAAGGCAACGAUGCAUAGCCGACCUGAGAGGGGGAUCGGCCACACUGGAACUGAGACACGGUCCAGAAUCCUACGGGAGGCAGCAGUAGGGAAUCUUACGCAAUGGGCGCAAGCCUGACGGAGCAACGCCGCGUGAGUGAUGAAGGUCUUCGGAUCGUAAAACUCUGUUAUUAGGGAAGAAAAUAUGUGUAAGUAAAUGUGCACAUCUUGACGGUACCUAAUCAGAAAGCAACGGCUAACUACGUG